UCAGCUCGUGUCGUGAGAUGUUGGGUUAAGUCCCGCAACGAGCGCAACCCCUAUUGUUAGUUGCCAUCAUUCAGUUGGGCACUCUAGCGAGACUGCCGGUAAUAAACCGGAGGAAGGUGGGGAUGACGUCAAAUCAUCAUGCCCUUAUGACCUGGGCUACACACGUGCUACAAUGGUUGGUACAACGAGUUGCGAGUCGGUGACGGCGAGCUAAUCUCUUAAAGCCAAUCUCAGUUCGGAUUGUAGGCUGCAACUCGCCUACAUGAAGUCGGAAUCGCUAGUAAUCGCAGAUCAGCAGGCUGCGGUGAACUACGCUCCCGGGCCUU
rnacentral:rRNA from 1 species